GACGAACGCUGGCGGCGUGCUUAACACAUGCAAGUCGAACGAUGAAGCCUAGCUUGCUAGGUGGAUUAGUGGCGAACGGGUGAGUAAUACGUGAGUAACCUACCUUUAACUCUGGGAUAAGCCUGGGAAACUGGGUCUAAUACCGGAUACGACCAAUCUCCGCAUGGGGUGUUGGUGGAAAGCGUUAUGUAGUGGUUAUAGAUGGCCUCACGGCCUAUCAGCUUGUUGGUGAGGUAACGGCUCACCAAGGCGACGACGGGUAGCCGGCCUGAGAGGGUGACCGGCCACACUGGGACUGAGACACGGCCCAGACUCCUACGGGAGGCAGCAGUGGGGAAUAUUGCACAAUGGGCGCAAGCCUGAUGCAGCGACGCCGCGUGAGGGAUGACGGCCUUCGGGUUGUAAACCUCUGUUAGCAGGGAAGAAGAGAGAUUGACGGUACCUGCAGAGAAAGCGCCGGCUAACUACGUGCCAGCAGCCGCGGUAAUACGUAGGGCGCGAGCGUUGUCCGGAAUUAUUGGGCGUAAAGAGCUUGUAGGCGGUUUGUCGCGUCUGCUGUGAAAGGCCGGAGCUUAACUCCGUGUAUUGCAGUGGGUACGGGCAGACUAGAGUGCAGUAGGGGAGACUGGAAUUCCUGGUGUAGCGGUGGAGUGCGCAGAUAUCAGGAGGAACACCGAUGGCGAAGGCAGGUCUCUGGGCUGUAACUGACGCUGAGAAGCGAAAGCAUGGGGAGCGAACAGG
rnacentral:rRNA from 1 species